rnacentral:lncRNA from 1 species
UUGCGUUAUUUAAACUUGCAAAUUAUGUGACAUGGAUAAUGUCAUCAGUUUUCCCCGUGUGGUUUUAUAUCACCUGGAGUUUGAGAGGCUGCAAGGAAGACCAGCCGUUUAGGCAAUAUUUUUAUAGAUGCAAGGGUGCAAGAAUUAAAUAAGAAUAUACAGGUUUGUUUGUUUUUUAUAAAACCCUUUAAAUAAGGACUAGCUGAUCCCAUGCUCACAGCUGGAAGGUGCUUGUAGCCUACCAUAUUUAAAAAAAACAACAACUACAUCUGCCUUUGUGGAGGAGCAGCAUCUACAAGAGAGGCAAUUAAGAGCAUAGUGGGGGGUGUUUGAUUUGUUUGCUUCAGGUUUCUUUCAUCAUGAUUUUUCUUUUUUUUUACUUAACAGCACGAAUUCACUAUUAUAUAUGUGUGUGUCUAUUUAUGUAUAUAUACACUUCUAUGUGUGUUCUCAUAUAUAUGUGUGCACACAUAUAUAAUUAUAUGUAUAAUAUUUUAAUAGAAACAAGAAAUGUUUUGAGUCCAGAGUGCCAUAAUUAAGUAAUAAAAACACUCUUUAAAAAAAUGAGUGACUUAACUAAUAGUUACCGUAUGUCAGGACCCUAUAUUUUGUAGCUAUUUUGAAAAGGUGGCAAAGCGGUUACGAAUUACUUUAACUUUCAUUUGCUGUAAAAAUAUAAUAUAUAAAAUAAAAAACAAGGUAGUCCAGGGUUCAGUUUUCCAUGCAAAAGCAAAAAUGCAUCUGAAGAAAGAAAGCAGCAGAGAAUCUGUCUCCAGAUGUGAAAUGAUCCCCUUAAGAAGGCCAAGAAGACAGGGAAGGUGAAGAACUGGGCCCAUUUUGACAAUCAAUCUACCGCAGUGCCCGGUCGCAGAAUCACCACCAAAAGAUGCAGGCACAAAGUCCUCAAAGGAAAUGAACCCAGAUGUCCCCUGCCUGUUCCAGUCAAACAUGAAGGAGGUGGCUUGACGCAGCGACCGGGAGAGAAAACCCACACCGCGCUCAGACUGUGGAGACGGUCUCCUCUGGGGCUCAGUUUCGUCAUCUAUGAAAUGGCAAGCUUGCACUCCUGGGGACUUGCAACUCUAGGAUUCAAUAAUCGUGGAUGUUUUAGCUCGAGCCGCUUGCCUUCUUCCAUCAUUCCCCUCAGCAAACUCUGCCAGCCUCAUCGACUUUAUGACUGUAUUAGCAAUGCUAUAACUUAAAACAGCCCAUUACGGUCCUCAUUGACUGCUCCUGUAUUCAAAGUAAAUUCAAUCACCAAUACAUAUCCAAUAAAAAAAUGGAAAUCUUCA